AGUGGCGGACGGGUGAGUAACGCGUGAGAAUCUGUCUUGGGGUCGGGGACAACCACUGGAAACGGUGGCUAAUACCGGAUAAGCCGAUUGGUGAAAGAUUUAUUGCCCGAAGAGGAGCUCGCGUCUGAUUAGCUAGUUGGUGAGGUAAGAGCUCACCAAGGCAGCGAUCAGUAGCUGGUCUGAGAGGACGAUCAGCCACACUGGGACUGAGACACGGCCCAGACUCCUACGGGAGGCAGCAGUGGGGAAUUUUCCGCAAUGGGCGAAAGCCUGACGGAGCAAGACCGCGUGAGGGAGGAAGGCUCUUGGGUUGUAAACCUCUUUUCUCAGGGAAGAAGCUCUGACGGUACCUGAGGAAUCAGCCUCGGCUAACUCCGUGCCAGCAGCCGCGGUAAUACGGAGGAGGCAAGCGUUAUCCGGAAUUAUUGGGCGUAAAGCGUCCGCAGGUGGCGAUUCAAGUCUGCUGUCAAAGCACGGGGCUUAACUCCGUAAAGGCAGUGGAAACUGAAUAGCUAGAGUGCCGUAGGGGUAGAGGGAAUUCCCGGUGUAGCGGUGAAAUGCGUAGAGAUCGGGAAGAACAUCGGUGGCGAAAGCGCUCUACUGGACGGCAACUGACACUCAGGGACGAAAGCUAGGGGAGCGAAUGGGAUUAGAUACCCC
rnacentral:rRNA from 1 species